UACGGGGGGGGUAAGCGUUGUUCGGAAUUAUUGGGCGUAAAGGGCUCGUAGGCGGUUUGUCGCGUCGGGAGUGAAAUCCACUGGCUUAACUGGUGGCUUGCUUUCGAUACGGGCAGACUGGAGGUAUGCAGGGGAGAACGGAAUUCCUGGUGUAGCGGUGGAAUGCGCAGAUAUCAGGAGGAACACCGGUGGCGAAGGCGGGUCUCUGGGCAGUAACUGACGCUGAGGAGCGAAAGCGUGGGGAGCGAACAGG
rnacentral:rRNA from 1 species